rnacentral:rRNA from 1 species
CCUACGGGUGGCAGCAGUGGGGAAUAUUGCGCAAUGGGCGAAAGCCUGACGCAGCGACGCCGCGUGAGGGAUGAAGGUCUUCGGAUCGUAAACCUCUGUCAGCAGGGAAGAAAGGUCACUGUGCUAAUCAGCAGUGAAUUAACGGUACCUGCAAAGGAAGCACCGGCUAACUCCGUGCCAGCAGCCGCGGUAAUAAGGAGGGUGCGAGCGUUAAUCGGAAUUACUGGGGGUAAAGCGCUCGUAGGCGGUAUGACAAGUCAAGGGUGAAAUCCCCGCGCUCAACGUGGGAACUGCCUUUGAAACUGGCAAACUUGAGUGUGUGAGAGGAUAGUGGAAUUCCAGGUGUAGGGGUGAAAUCCGUAGAUAUCUGGAAGAACAUCAGUUGCGAAGGCGACUAACUGGCACAUAACUGACGCUGAUGCGCGAAAGCGUGGGUAGCAAACAGGAUUAGAUACCCCAGUAGUC